ensembl:lncRNA
CCUAGGAGGGAAGAUUGAAAAAAAAUGUCUGGAGAAGAGAAGACAGAGGGGACAUAACAGUUUUCAAAUACAUAAAAGGUUGUUACAAGGAGGAGGGAGAAAAAUUGUUCUUCUUAACCUCUGAGGAUAGGACAAGAAGCAAUGGGCUUAAAUUGCACCAAGGGCGGUUUAGGUUGGACAUUAGGAAAAACUUCCUAACUGUCAGAGUGGUUAGGCACUGGAAUAAAUUGCCUAGGGAGGUUGUGGAAUCUCCAUCAUUGGGGAUUUUUAAGAGCAGGUUGGACAAACACCUGUCAGGGAUGAUCUAGAUAAUACUUAGUCCUGCCUUGAGUGCAGGGGACUGGACUGGAUGACCUCUCAAGGUCCCUUUCAGUUCUAUGAUUCUAAGCAUAAGAGAACUGCUGUGACUAGAGGAAGAUAACCUUGAGGAUAAUGACAAUAGGAUGUCAGAUUGACAGCAUCAGAUCAGGAGUAAGAUCCAGACCUCUGAAUUCAGGGGGAAGCCUGGAGUCCAUCACAAUAAAAGUUUCAAGGCUUGAUCUAAAGUUAAUUGAAGUCCAUGUAAGUCUUUUCACUGAUGUCAAUAGGCUUUGGAUCAGGCCCUGAGCGAGCAGAUAUGAAUAGUGAGCCAGCACUCUUACAGUUCCCUUGUGCUCCAAGUCUGCAUUUCUACCAUUGGCUUUUGUCUGUGUUUUUCCAGCAAUGAGUGAUAGCAGAACCAUAAAAAUCUUUGUUGUAGAGAUUUUGGGGCUCAUUGGCCUCAAUUCAAAGCCCAGAAAAGUCAAUGGCAAUCAUUCCAGUAACUUUAAUAAGCACUGAAUUGGGCCCAUUCUGAAUGAGUUUCAAAUUUCUUAAACUCUGUGAAUCCCCUUUUCCAGCCACGUUCAGUCGGAAGCAAAGAUGGCAGAACAUCUUUUCCUUUCUCUUUCUAAGCAGUUAGAGACUUGAACUCAUGCUUGCAAGCUUUUGAACAGCUGUGAAGCAUAUCCCAUGGUCUGAUUGUCUUCUGACACUGGAUGUAAAUCAGAAGUAACUUCAUGGCAAUCAACAGUGUUACAGUUGUUUAAAAUUGGUGUGUUAGACAAAGCAGGCCUCAAGUUUAUAGAUACGGUCUGAAAAGUUCAGCUAGAGCUGGUCCAAACACCAGUAUCAUUUUUUCAAGAAUUUUGUAAACUUUUGCAAUUUUUGGAAAUUUUUACUUUUUUUUUUAAUUAACAUUUUUCAAUUAAAAGCUUGGAAAAAAUUAACAUCUGGGAGGAGGGGGAUCAAAAAUAGAAUUUUCAUCAAAAACUGAAAGUUCUGAAAAGGUCAGUCACUUCUAGCUAUAUUGUAAGAGCAUGAAUGUUUGUGACUUGGAAAGUUCUGUUUCAGGAUAUCAUACCAUGUUUGAUGAAGUUUAGAAGGAAAAGGAAAUGAUGAAAGACUAGAUUUAAUCCAAGUCUCUGUUUGAAGUGUAAAAGUGAUAAUUAUGUAGUCAAAAUUUAAAAAAAAAUGAUAAUUAUCUCAGCAAAGAGGAUCAAGCACUGGAUGAUUUACGAGGAGCGGCUGAGGGAAAGGGGGUUAUUUAGUUUGUAGAAGAGAAGAGUGAGGGGGGAUUUGAGAGCAG